CUGAUUUCAGGUUGAACACACUCUCUCACAUCCUCUCUGAUCUCUGCGAGCCGUCACACACACAGAUGGUCACCUGGACCUCUCACUGACCGCAGCACCUGUAGCAUCGCCUCACCUGUGCAAUUUGUCGUGAGAAUUUUUUCUUUUCUCCUCAGAACAAGGGAGCUACAGAACGGGAACUAGUAAAAUGAUGGUUAAUCCAAUGAAUUCCCUCCUGGCUGUGCGCUGGUCAUCCAAGGCUUUCCAGAUACAACUGUACUGGUGAAGAAUUAUUUCUGCUGUCUGACUCUGGAGAAGUGCGUCGCUGAUUCUGUGAACAGCUGCCAGCGAGACCUUCAGCACAGAAAUCUCAACAACCUCCGAUCCGUGUUCUGGGAGAAAGUUGGAGGAGUUUGGGGAUUAGAUGGUGGUCUGAUACAUGAGCCUUACGUUUGUCUUUUUAAAGGUAAAGUGUGUAUUUCAAAAAUAAUGACUGUUUUCAUACAGGUUUUAUGAAGACGUUCCCUGUGAUCAGCAAACAAAUAGCCCUGCUCCAAAACUCACACCAUUGAUUGAGACCCCCCCCCCCACGUCCUCCACAAUCCAGGCACUCCUCCCAAGAACGACUGAGGGUUGAGGGCGGACAGGCAGAGGGAGAGAAGCCGGUCGUAUUGUUUAAUACCCUGGAGGUGGAGAUCUGGAGUGGAUUUUGAGAAAGCAAGAUAUUGGCUCCAUCUGUUUACGAACUUGAUGACUGAACUCAUCUGAGAGUGAGACACUCCUUCACCUCAUUAAAGUACAGUAGACUGUAAAUCUCUGAAGCUCGAGAGAAAUAAUGAGAAAUGCUUAAGUAGAGAUACUGAAAUGGAGACACUCACUCCCAAUAUUUGGAAUCAAAACUUGCAUAUUUCAAAAUGAACUCAGACAUUUCUCAUCAAGUUCUUCCAAAACCAAAAUGAUGUGAGCAAUGCAAUGCACACAAAUUGAAAAGUCAUAUAUGCUCUGAACUUAUUACGGUACAUCAGCAAUUCUCCCAUUUGGGUGUUUAUUACUCAUUUAUUACUCAUUUUUACCUAAACCACAAUUAGUUAUGAUGUAGCCUACCAUCUGCAUUCAUGUGUGUAAGUGCUAUAAUGUUCCAGGAUCUCCUCUGCGGUCCUCUGGAGAUCCUGUCCAAAGCUUAAUGUGAGAGUGACGACCCCUUUCUCAGUAAACACACUGUGCUUUUACUAGUUAACUCACCCUUUCCCCCCUGGCCACAGAAGAUGCCGUCAAAUCCCGUGGAGAGAUGUGAGUCAGCCUCGCCUCCAUCCUUUAAAGCUCAUUACAACUUGUGUUUAAUGCAACGCUACUCUCAGAACCGUUUGUCUAAUUGUGCGCCAUUGUGUUUAACCCAUCUGAGCCUCUGACAGCACUCAACAAUUGGAAAUGCAGUCGCAGGGUAGCAGUUGUCAGUGCGAGCAUGCUAAUUUGAAUAUGCAGCGAACGGGAGGCUUUCAGAGCGAGACAGAGAGGGAGGCCAUAUUGAGAGCCACCAUCUGUGUCCGUGUCGCUCAGUGCGGCCAAAGCAGGGAGAUCCCAUAUGUCACAUGAAGCCCCGUUGGGUAUAGCACUCUUGUUGCUGUUUGUUGUUUUUAUUUAUUUAUGAAAGGCCCUAGGAAUGAGAAAAUCAAGCCGGGUUUGCAGUGCCAGGGCCGAAGGGGCUAAAAUCUGGCAUCGUUAGGACCAUCUAACGAGCAGACUUCAUGUCAAUUGGCCUGCGUGUGUGUGUUUACCAUCUGCAAGACGGUAUGUGCACAUCUGCUGAAUCACUGUGGUCCAUUGGGCGUUGGACCAUCAUGGGACCAUGUGGUGCGGUGGCAGAGACGGUCCCCAGAGCUUUCAUUGACAGAUGGCUUCGGUGCCUGCCAGCACAGUGCUGAGACGUCGCCGUGCACCAUGCAAGAACUGCCACCGGGGCCACGGGACACUCCCCACCCACAGCUGCCCACUGAUGUCAUCUCUAAAGCAGUAAUAGUGACCCACUUCCAAUUCCAGCAGAAUUCCGGAUGCGCCCCAUUUCAAGCGUCCUCAGGUGCAUGGUGUUGCGCUCUUGAAUCGGGCUCUUUCAGCGAUUUGUCACGGUUCUGUUGGGCCCUGCUGCGACGGCACGUGCCAGAUCACCGCGGCGGCUCUGCUCCCCGUGUGCCAGACGGCCUCUCGUCGUCCUGACAGCCCACCACUGCUGUCACCCGCCCUGCGCCCGGACACCGGCUCCCGGCCCUGGCAACACGAGCGUAACCACAACCCCUACCCAGAAUAGAUGCAGACACAGGGGCCAGACAGAAACCCCCAGAGGACACACACACGCUGUACCCUGCAGCUCCACAGACUGUUCAUUUGCCCGAGUCGGGAUGAGACAAG
ensembl:lncRNA